rnacentral:rRNA from 1 species
AUACAGAGGGUGCGAGCGUUAAUCGGAAUUACUGGGCGUAAAGCGCGCGUAGGCGGCUGAUUAAGUCAGAUGUGGAAUCCCAGGGCUCAACCUUGGAACUGCAUCUGAUACUGGUCAGCUAGAGUUUAGGAGAGGGAAGUAGAAUUUCAGGUGUAGCGGUGAAAUGCAUAGAUAUCUGAAGGAAUACCAGUGGCGAAGGCGGCUUCCUGGCCUAAAACUGACGCUGAGGUGCGAAAGCGUGGGUAGCAAACGGGAUUAGAAACCCUAGUAGUCC